AAUGAACGCUGGCGGCAGGCCUAACACAUGCAAGUCGAACGGACCUUUCGGGGUUAGUGGCGGACGGGUGAGUAACGCGUGGGAACAUGCCCAAAGGUACGGAAUAGCCUCGGGAAACUGGGAGUAAUGCCGUAUGUGCCCUUCGGGGGAAAGAUUUAUCGCCUUUGGAUUGGCCCGCGUUGGAUUAGGUAGUUGGUGGGGUAAUGGCCUACCAAGCCGACGAUCCAUAGCUGGUUUGAGAGGAUGAUCAGCCACACUGGGACUGAGACACGGCCCAGACUCCUACGGGAGCAGCAGUGGGGAAUCUUAGACAAUGGGGGAAACCCUGAUCUAGCCAUGCCGCGUGAUCGAUGAAGGCCUUAGGGUUGUAAAGAUCUUU
rnacentral:rRNA from 1 species